AGGACGAACGCUUGCGACGUGCCUAAGAAAUGCAAGUCGAACGGAUCAGCAGCAAUGCUGGUUAGUGGCGAACGGUCGCGUAACACGUGGGCAACCUGCCCUGAAGCGGGGGACAACAAGCCGAAAGGUUUGCUAAUACCGCAUGUGGAUCGCCUCGGCAUCGAGGAUUAUCCAAAGCCUUCUAGUAAUAGGGGGCACUUCAGGAUGGGCCCGCGGCCUAUCAGCUAGUUGGGGGGUAACGGCCCACCAAGGCUUCGACGGGUAGCUGGUCUGAGAGGACGAUCAGCCGGAUUGGGACUGAGAUACGGCCCAGACUCCUACGGGGGGCAGGCAAUUAGGAAUCUUGCACAAUGGGCGAAAGCCUGAUGCAGCGACGUCGCGUGGGGAUGAAAUCUUUCGGGAUGUAAACCCCUUUGUCAGGGAAGAACAAUGACGGUACCUGACGAAUAAGCCCCGGCUAACUACGUGCCAGCAGCCGC
rnacentral:rRNA from 1 species